GCUGGCGUAGCUUAAGCAAAGCAUAACACUGAAGAUGUUAAGAUGGGCCCUAGAAAGCCCCGCUAGCA
rnacentral:tRNA from 1 species